rnacentral:sRNA from 1 species
GGAAGGAUGUGUACAUUAAGUUAGAUGUUGAAAUUCUUCUUUCUUCUCAGAAGAUUCCGGCAGCGAUGAAGAUUUCCUGAUGGAAGAUGAUGACGAUAGUGACUAUGGCAGUUCAAAAAAGAAAAACAAAAAGAUGGUUAAGAAGUCCAAACCUGAAAGAAAAGAAAAGAAAAUGCCCAAACCCAGGCUAAAGGCUACAGUGACGCCAAGUCCAGUGAAAGGCAAAGG